AAAUUUGAAACAGGAAUUUCACUAUUACUAGAAAAGACAGUAGGAACUAUAUCAUAAGAAAUGACAGAAUUUGUUCCAACUUGCGAUGGAAUUACAAAAGAUUGAUCAUUAAGAUGAUGCUUAGAAUGUUGGAAAUGAUAUAAACCAUCUUCAAACUUGGCUAUCCCAAUCAUCUUCCAUGUUAUAAGAUCCUGGAUAAAAGCAGAAAUCAUGUGAGAAUAGUAAGAAAUACCUGUGCUUAAGUACAAGAUUACUUGCAGAAAUCAAGUUGAACUUAAAACAUGGCACAACCAAUACAUCUGUCAAAAUCAGAUUCGUAGAUAAUUUUUUUUUUACUGUUCCAACAGGAGUAAUUAGAACAGUAUCACCAUUUGGUAACUUCACAAAUGCAUUAACUUGAUUGGUCACAGUAGUCAAUAUAUAACACGCCAUAUCUACCUGGAAUUAUGGAAGUACUGGGAUAUAUACGAUUACAUGAGAAUGCAAAAGCAUUAGGCAUUUGAGAAGAUGAAGAUAUUACUUCCUGAGAUUGUUGGCUUCUAGUGGAAAGUUGCCCUUUCAGUUGUGGAGCACGCAUAGCUAAGAUUUGUUUGCACUAAAUGCUAAGGUUGGACAGAGAAUUAAUCACUUCUGAACCAUUAUCAUGGGAAACUUGACCAACGGUGUUAGCAACUGAAUUUUGCCUUUAGCCAAUUAGUGACCAGGAGGAUAGCCAAUUAACUUGUAACACUUCCCUUUAAGGUGUCCAAACAUCCUACAAUAACAUCAUUUUGUCUCUCAUCUUGUAAGAUUAAUGCAAAAACUUUGUUCAAUGAAGGUGGAUCCAUUAAUAAAACUUGACUUCUCACAUUGGAAAAAUGUUCAUCAAGCCCCAUGAGAAAUUGCAUAACCUGAUCCUCUGACUUGUAAUCUGCAUUGCUAACCUCCGGUCUAUAGUUGUCUAAUUCUUCCCAAAGUCCUUUAAGCUAGUUGAAAUAGGAAUUGACAGAACUAUUUGCUUGAGAAAUUGAUGCAAUCUGCUUCUUUAUUUCAUAGAUUUGAGGACCAUUACCUUAAUUAUAUUGAUCCCUAAGCUCGAUCCAGAUCUGGCGUGUAGAAUCCUUGUGCAUAACACUCGGAUAAACUUCUUUUGGAACAGAAUUGAUGAUCCAGGAAGAGACUACAUGAUUGCACAUCCUGCAAGCACUCUAAAGUGAAUCAUCUACAGACUACAGAAGGUUUAGCAAUCGAUCCAUCAAUAAAACCUUCCUUAUUUUUGAUACUAAGUGCCAUAACAACAACACGACUCCAUGUCAUGUAGUUUUCUUCUAUGACAUGACAAAUAUGAACUGCCUUCUCGUGUUAUCACCAUAAUGAAGGUAAUACGGACUAUUUGGAUCGCUUAUUAACCGAUUAACAAGGGAAGUUAUCUCGCCAGCAACUACAUCUCUAGCAAGGGAAGUUACCUCGCAGGCAACUACAUCUCCGAUAGACGAAUCAGCUGGUGAAUUGAUGUGAUCAAUUUGAUUCUGGAUUUGAACUUGUUCAUUAGAUUCCAUUGCCAUUGCAGGGAAGCUUCAAAGCUCUGAUACCAUGUCAAAUCAGCAAUAAGCAGGUUCUAGAGGGAAGAACAAAACUGGCGGGAGGAUUUUCUCAUUACCAAAAUCAAUCCAAAUUGAAACAUCAUUCCACUAUUUAUACACAAAUGUAUCUAACAAGCUUAAGAGAAAAUAAGUGCAAAAAGACUUAAAUAUCCCAAUGCUAUCUUGUUCAAUAAUGUCUCUCAGGCUUGUUGCAACUCAAACCCAAAAAUCUCAAAAGAACAUAAAAUAUCGAAAUGACCAUCAACAUCAAGAUUCGAUUAUUUUUGGGCUCAAAACAUCAUUGUAGCCUUCUGUACAAAAUGAAAACUCCACAAUCCUAACACCAAAUAAAUCGAACAGAGUCAACUACUACAAUGGACCAAAAAAUAAACCCAAACUUUGAUUUUUACUUCUCAACCUUUAAUCGAAGAAUCACAAAGACUCAACACACAGAUUAACACCAAAAAAACUAGGAGUUUAAGGGAUUUGCACAAAGAAUAUGAAGAAAAAGACUAAAGGAUGAGAAGCAACACAAAGAAAUAGAAAGAAAAUCCAGAAACUUCUCAAACAAAAUCAGAG
rnacentral:lncRNA from 1 species